AUUGAACGCUGGCGGCAGGCCUAACACAUGCAAGUCGAGCGAGCGGCGGACGGGUGAGUAAUGUAUGGGGACUGCCCGAUAGAGGGGGAUAACUACUGGAAACGGUGGCUAAUACCGCAUACUGUCUGAUAACCCCUUUUGGAUUAGCUAGUAGGUUAUGUAAUGGCUUACCUAGGCGACGAUCCCUAGCUGUGCUGAGAGGAUGAUCAGCCACACUGGGACUGGAACACGGUCCAGAGUCCUACGGAGGCAGCGGUGGGGAAUAUUGCACAAUGGGCGCAAGCCUGAUGCAGCCAUGCCGCGUGGAUGAAGAAGGCCCUAGGGUUGUAAAGUACUUUCAGUCGGGAGGCGUUACCGACAGAAGAAGCACCGGCUAACUCCGUGCCAGCAGCCGCGGUAAUAC
rnacentral:rRNA from 1 species